CCCGCCAAUUCCUUUAAGUUUCUCUGGUUGAUCCUGCCAGAGGCCACUGCUAUCGGAGUUCGAUUAAGCCAUGCGAGUCGAGAGGUGCAAGACCUCGGCAUACUGCUCAGUAACACGUGGACAUCCUACGCUAUGGAGGGGGAUAACCCCGGGAAACUGGGGAUAAUACCCCAUAGACUAUAGAUGCUGGAAUGCUUUGUAGUUGAAAGGUCCGCCGCCAUAGGAUGGGUCUGCGGCCGAUUAGGUUGUUGUUGGGGUAACGGCCCAACAAGCCUGUAAUCGGUACGGGUUGUGGGAGCAAGAGCCCGGAGAUGGAUUCUGAGACACGAAUCCAGGCCCUACGGGGCGCAGCAGGCGCGAAAACUUUACAAUGCGGGAAACCGUGAUAAGGGAACUCCGAGUGCCCGUAAAAUCGGGCUGUCCAUCUGUUUAAAUAACAGGUGAAGAAAGGGCCGGGCAAGACCGGUGCCAGCCGCCGCGGUAAUACCGGCGGCUCGAGUGGUGGCCACUAUUACUGGGCUUAAAGCGUUCGUAGCUGGUCUGUUAAGUCUCUGGGGAAAUCUACUGGCUUAACCAAUAGGCGUCUCAGGGAUACUGGCAGACUAGGGACCGGGAGAGGUGAGAGGUACUCCAGGGGUAGGAGUGAAAUCCUGUAAUCCUUGGGGGACCACCUGUGGCGAAGGCGUCUCACCAGAACGGCUCCGACAGUGAGGGACGAAAGCUGGGGGAGCAAACCGGAUUAGAUACCCGGGUAGUCCCAGCCGUAAACGAUGCGCGUUAGGUGUAUCGGUGACCACGAGUCACCGAGGUGCCGAAGAGAAAUCGUGAAACGUGCCG
rnacentral:rRNA from 1 species